GUCUCCACCAAACACACCCAAUUUUAGUAAAAUUCCUGCCAAGAAUUUGAAUGCUAGUUUUUCCAUACAUGGAA
rnacentral:tRNA from 1 species